GACGAACCGAGCGAACGUUGUUCGGAAUCACGGGGCUUAAAGGGCGCGUAGGCGGGUGCUCAAGUCCGUGGUGAAAUCCUCCGGCUCAACCGGAGAACUGCCUCGGAUACUGGGUGCCUCGAGGGUGGUAGGGGUAUGCGGAACUAUCGGUGGAGCGGUGAAAUGCGUUGAUAUCGAUAGGAACUCCGGUGGCGAAGGCGGCAUACUGGACCACCUCUGACGCUGAGGCGCGAAAGCCAGGGGAGCAAACGGG
rnacentral:rRNA from 1 species